UCGUGCGCCUGGCAUGGUGGGUGAGGAGGGAGCCGGGCAGAGGGCCUGGAGGGCAGAGAGCAUCCCAGGAGGCCAUGUUCUUUGGAGGGAUUGGGGGCACAGCAGAGAAAUGCAAGAUUUCACUGGUCACCACGCUGCAACCAGGAGCAGAUCUCGGAGAGAGAAAAGUAAGCCCAAAUGGCCUCGCACAGGGUUAGAGACCAGGACCAGUACAGGACCCUCCAGGACACUGACAGGACCUGGCAUGCAGGCUGGGACCGCUGUCCAAUGAAGCUGCCAGGGUUCAAGCCCAAAGCCUCUCCCAGAGACAGAAGUGACCCAGGAGCCAGGGCAGGAGUCCGCAGAUGCUGUUGUGCGCCUGGCGGGAGCCGUGGGAGACCUGCCACCGCCAACCCAGGAACAGAGAGGGAGAGACCCGCUCUGGUUUGAAGAUGUCAGCACACAGCGGAUCAAAAGUUUAGCCUGGAGGCUGCUGUCAGCCACUCAGACGCAUAACUUUAUACGGUUCCAGAGACGUGUGGUGCAGGAACUAUGAUGGGGAGACGACAGCAGGAGGAGGGCCAUGGGGUGGGGAAGUUGGAGGUGGGCAGCCCCUGCUGGGGCUGGGGAUUGGGCUGGUGCAGCCCCAGGCUGGAGGUGGGUGACUCCACCCUUUUAUUUUCUGGGGCCUGCAGGUUCGGGUCCCUCAGCCCGGGCAGCAGCGUGGCCUCCACACCACGGGCCCCCCAGCGGGGCCCAUCUUCCUGAGAGGUGGGGCGCCUGAGGGACUGCACCAGCAUCCCCUUCAAAGCCUUCCCUGUCCCUUUUUUGCCCUCUCCCCAGAACAGCUCCCCCAGGGCGGCUGCUCUCUUCUCCACUGGGCAGGGGAGGAAGCAGGCCCAGCACUCGCCCAGGGAGGUGCCAGGACCAGAGCCCAUCCCGGGAGGUGCUGCCACCUGGUCCCGUCCCCACUCACGCUGUGGAGAGGGCUCCUGUGGGUCAGAAGUCAGUUGGCACAGGCCCCCGCCUUCAUCCCCAAGUGGUACCCAUCAUCGUUACAUGGCACCUGUGGCCCCACCACCGGGUCAAGGGCUGAGCUCAGGGCCAGCAUUCCCGUCUCCCCGUCUGGUGCCUGCCCAGGCCUGCUUGUGGUCUUGUGAGGAGGUGGCUCUGCAGGCUGCGGCCCUGGAAGGGGGAUUCAAGCCCACCCGACUUGCUGAGGCAGCAUAGUCCACGGGGUGGUGUUUGCGAGACACACAGCAGAGGGCAGAGCUAGAAGGGGAGACGCAGCCGGUCCCUGGGAGAGCCACAGGCUGCCCCCGAACCCUCCACCUGUGUGCUGAGGCACGGUCCCCUCGGCUCGCCCAGUACGACUCGACUGGUUACAGGACCCCAGACUCAGUCCUCGCCCCAGUCACCCCUGCUCAGAGGUGCCAGUGGCUCUGGGCCUCUGCCUUCCUCCAGAGCCCCUUGGCUCAAAAAACCCUCAGCAUCUCCCGCCCACAGCCUGUGGGGGCCUGUGCUACCCGGGCAGGGUGGGAACUGCCAGCAGCUCCUGGCCUCCCAGCAGCUCCUUCCUCCUGACACAUUCCCCGUCCGGUUGGACCGUCUCCAGGAGUCCACACUCCAGCUCAGCCGGGCCAUGCGGAUCCCCUCACCGGAGCGUUCUUUAAGGACCAGGGCUGCCGAGCAGGUGGUGGCAUUCGUGAAGCCCACAGGACGCCCCAGCAGGAAGCGGCUGUGGUUCUUGUCACCCCCACCAUGGCUGCUGCCUGGCCCCACUUCAACCAUGCCCGCCCCUCCGCUCGGCUGCACACAGUUUUGCUCCUCAUUACAGGCUUCUCCACAGGUUUUCCUCCUGAACCAUGUGGAUUCUUCUUGUCUUCCCAAAUCCACCAACCUCUCUGAGGGCAGGGAUCAGGCAUUCUUCUCAGUGUUUACUUGUGAAAGCAUCUAGCAGAACUGGGGGCCUACAGACCACCUCAGAAAUGGUUUGAAAGCAGAAAGUGCUACCAUAUGCAGUUGAAAUUCCCAGGCAAUUAUGCAUGUAAAAAUUCCUGGUUGUAUACAUGGAACAUCAAAGAUCAGAAGGAAAGAAUCAAAUGCCUGACUGUGCUAUGAUAGCGCCAUUUCCUUUAACUCGUUUCACAAACGCAGAUAGAGCGCUUACCCCGAACCAGGCAUGUUGCUGCGUGAUUGAUAAAUAUUAACUAAAUUAAUCUUUGAAACCACCCCAUGAGGUGGGUAUUAUUGUUGUCACCCUUUCAAAAAUGUGGAAACCGGGGUGGGGAGAUGUUAAGACGCUCAGUCAAGGUCACACAGCUCACCCGCGGUAGAGCUGGGGUUCAAAUGCAAGUGGUCUCGGUCCAGUGUUUACGGCUUUAAGGUGUGUUGGCUCCAGGGAUGAGUCUUCAUUUCUUCUGGGGGCUGCGGUUAUGAAGAGACCGGCCCCAGACCCAGAGCCAAUGCCGCCAGGCACUUUCUGAG
rnacentral:lncRNA from 1 species